AUUGAACGCUGGCGGCAGGCUUAACACAUGCAAGUCGAGCGGAGAUGAGGUGCUUGCACCUUAUCUUAGCGGCGGACGGGUGAGUAAUGCUUAGGAAUCUGCCUAUUAGUGGGGGACGACAUUCCGAAAGGAAUGCUAAUACCGCAUACGUCCUACGGGAGAAAGCAGGGGAUCUUCGGACCUUGCGCUAAUAGAUGAGCCUAAGUCGGAUUAGCUAGUUGGUGGGGUAAAGGCCUACCAAGGCGACGACCUGUAGCGGGUCUGAGAGGAUGAGCCGCCACACUGGGACUGAGACACGGCCCAGACUCCUACGGGAGGCAGCAGUGGGGAAUAUUGGACAAUGGGGGGAACCCUGAUCCAGCCAUGCCGCGUGUGUGAAGAAGGCCUUAUGGUUGUAAAGCACUUUAAGCGAGGAGGAGGCUACUGAGACUAAUACUCUUGGAUAGUGGACGUUACUCGCAGAAUAAGCACCGGCUAACUCUGUGCCAGCCGCCGCCGUAAAAC
rnacentral:rRNA from 1 species